AGUGAACGCUGGCGGUAGGCCUAACACAUGCAAGUCGAACGGCAGCACAGUAAGAGCUUGCUCUUACGGGUGGCGAGUGGCGGACGGGUGAGGAAUACAUCGGAAUCUACUUUUUCGUGGGGGAUAACGUAGGGAAACUUACGCUAAUACCGCAUACGACCUACGGGUGAAAGCAGGGGAUCUUCGGACCUUGCGCGAUUGAAUGAGCCGAUGUCGGAUUAGCUAGUUGGCGGGGUAAAGGCCCACCAAGGCGACGAUCCGUAGCUGGUCUGAGAGGAUGAUCAGCCAGACUGGAACUGAGACACGGUCCAGACUCCGACGGGAGGCCGCAGUGGGGAAUAUUGGACAAUGGGCGCAAGCCUGAGCCAGCCAUACCGCGUGGGUGAAGAAGGCCUUCGGGUUGUAAAGCCCUUUUGUUGGGAAAGAAAAGCAGCAGGUUAAUACCCCGCUGCUCUGACGGUACCCAAAGAAUAAGCACCGGCUAACUUCGUG
rnacentral:rRNA from 1 species